UACGAAGGGGGCUAGCGUUGCUCGGAAUCACUGGGCGUAAAGGGUGCGUAGGCGGGUCUUUAAGUCAGAGGUGAAAUCCUGGAGCUCAACUCCAGAACUGCCUUUGAUACUGAGGAUCUUGAGUUCGGGAGAGGUGAGUGGAACUGCGAGUGUAGAGGUGAAAUUCGUAGAUAUUCGCAAGAACACCAGUGGCGAAGGCGGCUCACUGGACCAUAACUGACGCUGAUGCACGAAAGCUAGGGGAGCAAACAGG
rnacentral:rRNA from 1 species